rnacentral:rRNA from 1 species
GAUGAACGCUGGCGGCGUGCCUAAUACAUGCAAGUCGAGCGAACAGACGAGGAGCUUGCUCCUCUGAAGUUAGCGGCGGACGGGUGAGUAACACGUGGAUAACCUACCUAUAAGACUGGGAUAACUUCGGGAAACCGGAGCUAAUACCGGAUAAUAUAUUGAACCGCAUGGUUCAAUAGUGAAAGACGGUUUUGCUGUCACUUAUAGAUGGAUCCGCGCCGCAUUAGCUAGUUGGUAAGGUAACGGCUUACCAAGGCAACGAUGCGUAGCCGACCUGAGAGGAUGAUCAGCCACACUGGAACUGAGACACGGUCCAGACUCCUACGGGAGGCAGCAGUAGGGAAUCUUCCACAAUGGGCGAAAGCCUGACGGAGCAACGCCGCGUGAGUGAUGAAGGUCUUCGGAUCGUAAAACUCUGUUAUUAGGGAAGAACAAAUGUGUAAGUAACUAUGCACGUCUUGACGGUACCUAAUCAGAAAGCCACGGCUAACUACGUG